CGGGUUGCUUGAGAGUGCAGCUCUAAGUUGGUGGUAAACUCCAUCUAAGGCUAAAUAUUGCCACGAGACCGAUAGCGAACAAGUACCGUGAGGGAAAGUUGAAAAGAACUUUGAAGAGAGAGUUCAAUAGUACGUGAAACCGUUCAGGGGUAAACCUGAGAAACCCGAAAGAUCGAAUGGGGAGAUUCAUCGUUAGCUAUUUUGGCUUCCGUGCGGUGCACGAUGAUUUGGGACCUCGGUUUCGGAUCACGCGCUCGCUGCGGUAUGUCCGAAGUAGUCGGCGUGCACUUCUCCCCUAGUAGGACGUCGCGACCCGUUGGGUGCUGGUCUACGACUCGGUAGGUUGUCUGGCGCGUCUCGUUCACGCGUGUACGCGUCAGACCUCCGAACGUCCGACCAGCUGCCCGACGGUAUUGAUUAUUUCUAAAAUGGUAUCGAGCCGCACUAAGUGCGUUCAGGCUCUUCGACAGGCACGCCUCGCUUGGAGUUUACGGACCUGGUGCCGUUUCCAAGCGCUUGGCGUGUUGUGGUCGAGGAUGUCCUCGGACUGGCUCUUGAAUAUUCGAAAGGAUAUACCAGUCUGCGACGCUAUUGCUUUGGGUACUUUCAGGACCCGUCUUGAAACACGGACCAAGGAGUCUAACAUGUACGCGAGUCAUUGGGUCUAUUAAAGCCUAAAGGCGUAAUGAAAGUGAAGGUCGUACCUUGCGUCGACCAAGGGAGGAUGGCUCGCGUCACGAUGCGAGCUCGCACUCCCGGGGCGUCUCGUGCUCAUUGCGAGCAGAGGCGCACCCAGAGCGUACACGUUGGGACCCGAAAGAUGGUGAACUAUGCCUGGUCAGGACGAAGUCAGGGGAAACCCUGAUGGAGGUCCGUAGCGAUUCUGACGUGCAAAUCGAUCGUCGGAACUGGGUAUAGGGGCGAAAGACUAAUCGAACCAUCUAGUAGCUGGUUCCCUCCGAAG
rnacentral:rRNA from 1 species